CCUACGGGAGGCAGCAGUGAGGAAUAUUGGUCAAUGGACGAGGGUCUGAACCAGCCAAGUAGCGUGAAGGAUGACUGCCCUAUGGGUUGUAAACUUCUUUUAUAAAGGAAUAAAACGAGGCACGUGUGCCUUUUUGCAUGUACUUUAUGAAUAAGGAUCGGCUAACUCCGUGCCAGCAGCCGCGGUAAUACGGAGGAUCCGAGCGUUAUCCGGAUUUAUUGGGUUUAAAGGGAGCGUAGAUGGGUUUUUAAGUCAGUUGUGAAAGUUUGCGGCUCAAACGUAAAAUUGCAAUUGAUACUGGAAGUCUUGAGUACAGUUGAGGUAGGCAGAAUUCGUGGUGUAGCGGUGAAAUGCUUAGAUAUCACGAAGAACCCCGAUUGCGAAGGCAGCUUACUAAACUGUGACUGACAUUGAUGCUCGAAAGUGUGGGUAUCAAACAGGAUUAGAUACCCGUGUAGUC
rnacentral:rRNA from 1 species